rnacentral:pre_miRNA from 1 species
ACAGCAUUCGGACCGUCGGUCUACCGAGCAAUAUCAACCGCUUGGUGGCAGAUCUACCUUUUGUCGU